UAAAUACUCCCUUCAUCCGAAAAUACUUAUCAUCAAAAUGAAUAAAAGGAAAUGUAUCUAGAACUAAUAUACAUCUAGAUACAUCCCCUUUAUUCAUUUUGAUGACAAAUAUUUCCGGACGAAGGGAGUAUUUG
rfam:Triticum aestivum genome assembly, contig: Triticum_aestivum_CS42_TGACv1_scaffold_328761_4BS